GCACUGCUGAAGAGUCUCAGUAUAAUACGAAACGGCCGUCCAGUGC
rnacentral:hammerhead_ribozyme from 1 species